rnacentral:lncRNA from 1 species
CACAAAGCUGUGUGCUUGGCUUCCUCAUGCACAUCACAGGUUAUCCAUUUAGGAUCUGGGUGGGUGGCUCAGGAUGCAGUGAUGGAGAAAUGUUUGUCACAUGUAAAGGCCUGGAUCACCUGGUGGGCAAAUAGAGAGCAAAAAGCACAGGGUUUGGUCAACAUUGCCAACAGGCCAAGGAUAACCACAGACAAGCCUCUAAUCCCCUUUGUUCCUUGAUCUAACCGAGAGAGUGCCAAGGUCUCCACCCUUGCUCUCCUUCCUGCCCCACCCACCUACUGUGCCGCAGCCUUUUUCUAACAGCAGUGGGUAGCAACGCCCUUCAAAAACUCAGGGGACAUUCUUCCUUUGUCAGAGUGUCACGCUCAUACCAGCUUAGGUUGUCCCCAUUUAAGACUUUAUUCUUCUAGUUGUGAGUCACUGCUGCCAUCCUGUCUGUCUUAUUCCUGCUGGGAAAGAAGAGUAGGGGAGCGGUGGAACACCGAGGCUGAGAGGAAUGCCAGAGGCUGAGGUGGUUCCUUGUGGAGCUAGGGAACAUGGGGCAAGGCAGUUACAAGACAGCUCUACUGCCAUGGGCAGAGGAAGGAAUCACUCCUAUAGAGUGGAAGGGACCAGAUUGCUGAUCCUCGUAUUCUGGCGAGGUUACCCAUCUCUGUGAGCCUCAGCUUCCUCACUGGUAUAAAAAGUCCCCGGUUCUUUGAAAGAAUAAGAGAAAUGACUCCAUUGCAAGCUAGGCAGUGCCUGGCACAUUGGGGUAACCCCCACCCCACACCUCUUCCUUCUCUCCUUCCACCUUUGUAUAUGUUACUUUUCUUGAUACUAAGACCAAUCAUCACCCAAAAAAAGCACUGUAAGGGGAGAAGGGCUUAUUGGGGUUCACAGUUUGAAGGGUCACAGCCCAUCAUGGUGAGGAAGGCAUGCAGAAGAAGGCAGUUGCUCACACAGCAUCUGCAGGCAAGACACAGAGAGAGGUGGGGUGCUGCUACUCAGUUCCCUUUCCCUUUUUAGGGACCCCACCCCCACAGGAUGGUGCCAUCCUCUCUGUUACCUCUUUCUGGGAGCAUGUUCAUAGACUUGGAGAUGUGUUUCCAUGGUGAUUCUAAAUCCUGUCAAGUUGACAAUGAAGAUUAACCAUCCUGCUUCUCCUAAAAGGAGAAUGAGUGUCUCUAAACAAGCAAGUAUCCUCAAACAGGCUGGGCAAAGUGCCACCAUGCCACCACCAUGUCACCACCAUGCACACAAACACCAUGCACCCAGAGGGGAACAGGGACAAGUGGGAGAGAACUUGGGCGACCCCUGUAUGAAGGGUGGGGAAGGGGAGGGAACAUACUCAUCUAUUCCACUCAACACUGUGCUUACAAUGAUUUAUUCCACAUCUCAGACUCAAGACAAGAAUUUAAAUCCCACUUAAAGGCAACUUUUCUCAUGAUUCAGCUCCAUAAUCAUCAUCAAUAUUUAUCGGCUCAGGCCUGCUUCCAGACAUCAUAGAUCUCCGUCAGUCUGGAAAGCCGAAGGAUUAGAGGGGCCACUGAGAGAGAGGGGGGGGGAGGGAGGGAGGGAGGGAGAGGGAGAGAGAGAGAGAGAGAGAGAGAGAGAGAGAGAGAGAGAGAGAGAGAGAGAGAGAGAGAGAGAGACUCCAGGCUCCCAAGGGACAGCUACAGCAAAGGGAGCAGCAAGCCCUGUGCACUAGGUCUAGCAAGGGCCCGGCGACAUUCAGAACAUGAGGACAUUUAGAUUCAAUGAAGGGAGAUGAUGUUUUGUUCUCAGUGAGAAUGAGAUACGCAAGAGGGAGUUGAGUGUGACCAUAAAAUGAAUGCAGGAAAAGUUUCAGGCAAGUUCAUGGUUGCCUGAGCUCUGGGAGAGGCACUAUGACCCUCUGAGAUUGC